rnacentral:lncRNA from 1 species
CUUAACUACUAGUAGAUAUAAUAUUAUGUUUAGUGUUUGCAUGUAUGCUCAUUAUUAAUCAAAUCCAAAAGAAUCAUAUGUAAUGCUUGUUCAAAGAAUCUUUAGAUAUUUAAUUGAUACUCAAAAUGCUAGUUUGUGAUUUUCAAAAUAAUUUUUUUUAGACUUAAUUGGUUAUCUAAAUGCUCAUUUUAUCAGAUGCAAAUU